CCCUUAGAUGUUCUGGGCGGCCCGCGCACUACAAUGGCGCUUUCAGCGAGUUCCUAUGUUGACUUUUCCUUGGUAUUCUUGGAAGCGGCGUCUUGACUUGGGAUAGAUCCUUGUAAUUGUUGGUUUUGAACGAGGAAUUCCUUGUAAUCGCGGUUGAUCAGCUCGCGUUGAAUACGUCCCUGCCCUUUGUACACACCGCCCGUCGCUCCUACCGAUGAAUCGUCCGGUGAAGUUCACAGAGUGGCGGUUCGUGGAGUUGCUCGCGAAGUGAAAUGGACCUCACGAUUUAGAGGAAGGAGAAGUCGUAACA
rnacentral:rRNA from 1 species